GUCUUCAUCUUCAUGGAGUCAGAUUCUGUUUCCUUGGCUUCCUGUAUCUCCUGUUUUGUUUUCUGAUAAAGAACUGAAAUACCAUGGAGACAAACUCCUUAUAAACACCAAGCAGACAGGGUCUAAAAUUAAGGAAAAUAAAAGGAAAAAUAUUUAAUUCUCAUGACAACCUGUUGGUGACAGCAAAGUUACAUUGAAGUGCAGCUUGCAUCGAAAAGCAAGCAGAAAUAAACGAAGCUGAGCCCUGCAUAUUCUCAGAGAAAGUAAUAGGCUGUUCUGUACGGACCCACUGUAUCGAAGCAAGAUGCUGAGAGCAAAAUUCAGCUGAAACACAGCCACAAAAAUGUUUAUGCAGAGCUUACUGUAAAUGGAAAACAUCAAAUUUCAUAAAGCAGCAGCUGAGUCACAGUAGUUGACUGUUGCUUGGAUUCUUCCUACCUUUUCGCAGAUAAAUGGAUUGCAGUGGAUGUCUUUGGAGUUAAAUGUCAUGAAGGAAGAUGGAAAAAAAAUAAGUAAAGAAACAGACUUGGUUUGUGAUGUUUUCGGUUGUUGCUUUUUUGUUUCUGCAUGUGUGUAAAGAUACAAUAGUGUAAGUGGUAAAAAUGAAGUGAUGGGCGCAUUUAAUUUUGUCUGAUCAGCCGUAACUCUAGAUUUUCAAACAGAUUUCCUGGAGAUGAAUCAUUGAGUCAGCUAGAAUAUGUGAAAUGAUUGAUACCAAUUUUCUGUUGAGAAAGCCACGUUUAGUUAAAAUGCAAGCUUUCCCUAAUGAAAUAAUCUGCCAAAAUCUGGGCUGUUGUCCACAAAAUGCAGAGAGGCUGAAAAACAAAGCAUGUUGAUUGCUAGGAAAUACCUAUUUUUGUUGUCAAUCAGGGCUUUUUAUUUCAAGCUGGACAAAAAUUUGGACAUAAUUUUGUAAGCCUGGUGCAACAAGUCUAUGGCAUUUCAGGAAAUACAGGGAUUGUGUAUUCAGGGGAAAAAAACUUCACCCCAAAUUUUGUCCUUUUUCAUCUUCUUUGUGCCAGUUUGAGCAGAUUCAGUGAUGUGUUUCUCAUUCCUGUAGAAACAGUAUUUUCCCCGAUGUUCUCGCUCUACUGGAACAUUUUGUAGUGACAAAUCUUUAGAAAUGAUUUUAAGAAAUCAUAAGAAAAUUUUAAGAAAUCAUAACUUCCCCCCCUGCCCCCCAUAAAUCGUGUUAUCACUCCCUGUUUGGGGGGGGAGAAAACAGGGUGGAACGCUUCAGUUUUUCUGUAAGGAUGGGAAUUUCUGAAACCUUUAAGUGGGAAACCUGAGAUACCAGAUUUGUCAAGCACUUUCCAUGUAAUAAGCUUUUUCUCAGAAUUCUCAAGUGCUGAGGAUGAUGUGCUACUCUAAUUAACAACCUUUUUAAAGGGUGCAAAGACUUUUCCUGUUUCCUAACACUGACUUGCACAGUUGGUGUCUUCCUCGUGUCCCCUUCCCUCUUCUAUCAGAUGAACUGUUCUGCUAAAAGGCCAAUUUAGUCAUUAUAAAGGGAUUUUCAUAGUCAUGAUGAGGUAAAGCAGAGUGUGAAUAUAUAGGAGUUUAUAUUUAAUGGGGAACUGAUUAAAGGAGGAUUGAUUGCUGAGCAGAUAGUUCAGACAGGCAUGCAUAUGCAAAAAGAAAAUACACAUAUGCAUAUAUAUGGCUUUGUCAAUGUGAUACUAAUUGAUGGAGAGGGUAUGGAUGUUUAAUAAACAUCCAUCUGGAGGGCUCACUGGAAUAUGGAUUACCAGCAAAUCCAGCUGCCCAUCCCCAGUGCCAUUACACUGCCUGCCCCUCAUCGUGUCCUGUUGGGAUGUGACACUGCACUCCCCUCAAAGUGCAGUAGAAUCCACCCUAGUGCAUUGGGAAGAAGGAAAAUAAACUUUUUUUGCCGUCUCUAAGUUUGGAUGGGAAGUCUGUUAUCAGCUCUUGCAGUGUUUGAAGUGGGUUGAGAGGGUAAGUGUCCAUGGUUCACUGGUUCAGCGUGUCCGUGUGAUAAUGCAAACUAAUGUGUGGUUACAGCUCCUAGCAACUUAUUUCUCUCUGCAUUGGAGCACUGUACAGGGAGCUGGAGGUACCUAGAUAGACAUGUGUUAUAGGCACAAGAAGAAUUAUCAAGUCAAUCUAAAUAAAGACAAUAUUCAUACAAGUUGGUUCCUCUUGGUGGAUUCUGGCAGUGGGGGAAUUGCAGAUAAAUGCAGAUAAAUGUUCUUAUUAUUUCAUUCACUGGCAGAUAAAAUAGACUAUUUUUCCUAAUUUUUAAAUUUACAGUUGUAGCCCUCGAUUUUGGGUCCCUGCUCCUGGAAUCUAAAUUAUUUGACACGGGCUGCUGUGGCUGUUGGGGAGAUUGAAGUCAAAGGAAGUGCAGAAGCAGGAAAGCCUCCAUCCCCAUUUCCACUCUGUCAGCCAACAAGAGGAAACAGGAGAUCUGCAACUUAAGUGAUACGUAUAUAUGUGUUUGGCUGCUAGUCUUCUAUAGCUGAUAAAGAGGAAAGCAAGGCCAUGAGCAACUCUGAGAGAGGGUAGUGGAGGUUUUUUGAAAGGGGAGUGAUAAACGCAAUUGCUUUGCCCAAGACAGCUGGCAUGUGAACAGAAAUCUCUUCUUGUUCUUCAUUCAGUGCUGUCCUGGAGACUAGAAAUUAGUUCUGAAAUUAUGUGUAAAAGUUAGCUCUUGUGUAUAUGCAUUGUUGGAAAGGCUCUCUGAGUUACAGAAGCACAGUGGAGCUGAACAUUAAAUGCAGGACAUCAAACCUUGAAUGGGUAAGGAAUCCUGUGGAUGAGGAUGUGUUCCGUGCUCCUGCUGAAGGCUGCCUGUUAGGGAGCAGUCUGGAUGGGACAUGAAGGAGACCAGAGCAAAGGUAACCUAGAGGGAAAAUGAGUCAUCAUUUUAUUCUUCAUUUGUAUUUGCAGGAUGAAGUUGCAGAAUGUGAAGCUGAGCUUGCAUGUGCUGGGUGAAGCCUGGGCUAUGUUUCUGUUUCUGUCAUUGACUUAUCUCAGUAGUAGUUUCUGUUUCUCCAGGUGUGUGUUGAUAUUUGUGGAUGUUGUGAUAGUUACUGUGUGAAGAUGAUGCUGCAAGUUGUUUUCUUAGUGAGAGAACCUGGAGAAGGUCUUUGGAUCUGAGCAGAGCGUGAUUCUUCUGUUUCCUGUAAUAACAGCUCUGGUUGGUUUGUUUGUGCAGGAUUUCAAAUCCAAGAAAUUAGACAAGAGGAGCAUGGGUGUUAAUUUCCAGCUUGUUCUAAUCAGUUUCUUCUGUCUUUAAUGUAUUUUAUUGUGAUCAGAUGAUGUAAAGAUUGACUUGGAAAUGUCCCAUUGACUGAUCUGGUAAGGAGAAAACAGCACAUGAAAAUGUUUUGUAAAGCAGUAUAACAGCUUCAGUGGCAAGGAACAACAGGCUUGGUUCUGCUCCAGCAUCUGCCAAAUGGAGUAACUGAAACUCCUGUUUAUUACAUGGCAUAAAAGAAAUGGAAUAAUACUGUUAAGAGUGUUAUCUUUGGAAAAUGACUGCACCUCACUGAAGCAUGACUAUAAUGAUGGGGAAUUAUGCUGCUAAAGCACACCAGUUUUGUGGCACAGUCACUAAAACAUAUACUGUGUGGUGUUCUUCGUAAAGGCUUUAUUGCAGACACUCUUGUAUUAACAUAUUGUCAUGAGGCCAAAAUUGGCAUUGCUUUUGUCUGGAGCAUUCUGGAGGGAAACCACUGCUUGUCCUGCCCUUUAUCUAGGGCUUAUAAGUGAAAAAAAACACUUAGUAGGAUUUGUAGUCUUCAUUAAACAAUUGUGAUAUUGGAUUUAUCUUUUCCUGUGGGUAAAUGCUGCUUGUCCUCUCCAUUUCUUUGCAGAGUGGUUCAGAUGAAGCACUCUCAGGACACAGCAAAUGCUAAUGGUAGUAGGAUUAUAUUUUGGAGGAAAUGAGACAAGACUGUUUUAUAACUACUUUGCUGCUUGUCAUAAUAACGAGCUGAGUACUGUGGG